rnacentral:ncRNA from 1 species
GCAAAAGGGAAUGAAGUUCUCCCUAAGUAUUUUACUUGAACCGCUUAUUAAGCUGAUGACUUCUGCGAU